rnacentral:rRNA from 1 species
GACGAACGCUGGCGGCGUGCUUAACACAUGCAAGUCGAACGGUAAGGCCCUUCGGGGUACACGAGUGGCGAACGGGUGAGUAACACGUGGGUAAUCUGCCCUGCACAUCGGGAUAAGCCUGGGAAACUGGGUCUAAUACCGAAUAGGACCACAGGACACAUGUCCUGUGGUGGAAAGCUUUUGCGGUGUGGGAUGGGCCCGCGGCCUAUCAGCUUGUUGGUGGGUGAUGGCCUACCAAGGCGACGACGGGUAGCCGGCCUGAGAGGGUGUCCGGCCACACUGGGACUGAGAUACGGCCCAGACUCCUACGGGAGGCAGCAGUGGGGAAUAUUGCACAAUGGGCGAAAGCCUGAUGCAGCGACGCCGCGUGGGGGAUGACGGCCUUCGGGUUGUAAACCUCUUUCACCAUCGACGAAGGUCCGGGUUUUCUCGGGCUGACGGUAGGUGGAGAAGAAGCACCGGCCAACUACGUG